rnacentral:rRNA from 1 species
GACAGAGGAUGCAAGCGUUAUCCGGAAUGAUUGGGCGUAAAGCGUCUGUAGGUGGCUUUUCAAGUCCGCCGUCAAAUCCCAGGGCUCAACCCUGGACAGGCGGUGGAAACUGCCAAGCUGGAGUACGGUAGGGGCAGAGGGAAUUUCCGGUGGAGCGGUGAAAUGCGUAGAUAUCUGGAGGAAUACCGGUGGCGAAGGCGGCAUCCUGGACCGAGAUUGACACUGAUGAGCGAAAGCCAGGGGAGCAAACGGG